ACAGAGGUCCCGAGCGUUGUUCGGAUUCACUGGGCGUAAAGGGUGCGUAGGUGGUCGGGUAAGUCCGAGGUGAAAUCUCCAAGCUUAACUUGGAAACUGCCUUGGAUACUAUUCGGCUGGAGGGUUGGAGGGGGGACUGGAAUGCUUGGUGUAGCAGUGAAAUGCGUAGAUAUCAAGCGGAACACCAGUGGCGAAGGCGAGUCCCUGGACAACUCCCGACACUGAGGCACGAAAGCUAGGGGAGCAAACAGGA
rnacentral:rRNA from 1 species